rnacentral:rRNA from 1 species
UACGGAGGGUGCGAGCGUUGUCCGGAAUCAUUGGGCGUAAAGGGCGCGUAGGUGGCCUGCUAAGCGUGCGGUGAAAGCCUGGGGCUCAACCCCGGGUCGGCCGUGCGAACUGGUGGGCUUGAGCACUGUAGAGGCAGGCGGAAUUCCGGGUGUAGCGGUGGAAUGCGUAGAGAUCCGGAAGAACACCGGUGGCGAAGGCGGCCUGCUGGGCAGUAGCUGACACUGAGGCGCGACAGCGCGGGGAGCAAACAGG